rnacentral:rRNA from 1 species
UAGGGAAUUUUGGACAAUGGAGGAAACUCUGACCCAGCCAUGCCGCGUGAAUGAUGAAGGCCUUAGGGUUGUAAAGUUCUUUCGCCGAUGAAGAUAAUGACGGUAGUCGGAGAAGAAGCCCCGGCUAACUUCGUGCCAGCAGCCGCGGUAAUACGAAGGGGGCUAGCGUUGUUCGGAAUUACUGGGCGUAAAGCGAGCGUAGGUUGCUCGAUAAGUCAGUGGUGAAAGCCCAGAGCUCAACUCUGGAACUGCCAUUGAAACUGUCGAGCUGGAAUCUCAGAGGGGGUAGCGGAAUUCCAAAUGUAGGGGUGAAAUCCGUAGAUAUUAGAAGGAACACCGGUGGCGAAGGCGGCUAUCUGGACGACAACUGACGCUGAGGCGCGAAAGCGUGGGGAUCAAACAGGAUUAGAUACCCCCGUAGUCCCUGAGCGGGCUGGCAAGGCGCAU